rnacentral:rRNA from 1 species
GAUGAACGCUGGCGGCGUGCCUAAUACAUGCAAGUCGAGCGAACAGACGAGGAGCUUGCUCCUCUGACGUUAGCGGCGGACGGGUGAGUAACACGUGGAUAACCUACCUAUAAGACUGGGAUAACUUCGGGAAACCGGAGCUAAUACCGGAUAAUAUAUUGAACCGCAUGGUUCAAUAGUGAAAGACGGUUUUGCUGUCACUUAUAGAUGGAUCCGCGCCGCAUUAGCUAGUUGGUAAGGUAACGGCUUACCAAGGCAACGAUGCGUAGCCGACCUGGGAGGGGGAUCGGCCACACUGGAACUGAGACACGGUCCAGAAUCCUACGGGAGGCAGCAGUAGGGAAUCUUCCGCAAUGGGCGAAAGCCUGACGGAGCAACGCCGCGUGAGUGAUGAAGGUCUUCGGAUCGUAAAACUCUGUUAUUAGGGAAGAACAAAUGUGUAAGUAACUAUGCACGUCUUGACGGUACCUAAGCAGAAAGCCACGGCUAACUACGU